AUGUCGUUUCAGUGGGACCUCAAUGCCUGGACCGAAAGUGCUGAGGCCUUUGAGAAGAUUGCGGUAGAGCGUCCCGGCACCAACUGAACAGGCCCUGCACCCAUGGUCCAUCCCCUAGAGCUCCAAGGACCCUGAGCAAGCAGGGCUCUGGCAGUGGCCAGAGCAUGGAGGUACAGGAAGACUAUGGCUUUGGAUCAGAUGAUCCCUACUCAAGUGCAGAGCCCCCAUGUAUCAGGCGUGAAGCUGUCCUGCUCAGGUGAGGGUGAGGUGAGCAGCCUCAAUGUGAGCCUUGAACAGCUGACAGCCAGCCACCCGUCUUCAAGGUCUUCCCGGGCAGCACCACUGAGGACUAUAACCUUAUCGUUAUUGAGCGGGGUGCUACUGCUGCAGCUGCUGGACAGCCUGGGACUGUGCCUCCGGGAACCCCUGGUGCCCCACCACUAUCUGGCGUGGCCAUCGUCAAGGAGGAGGAGACAGAGGCCGCCACUGGAGCCCCUCCUGCCACGGAGGGCCCUGAGACCAAACCUGUGCUAGUGGCUCUUUCGGAAGGUCCCAGUGCUGAGGGCCCCCGCCUAGCCUCACCCAGUGGCAGCACCAGCUCAGGCCUGGAAGUGGUGGCUCCUGAAGGCACCUCAGCCCCACGUGGUGGCCUAGGCAGCCUGGAUGACAGUGCUACCAUUUGCCAUGUCUGCCAGAAGCAAGGUGACCUGGUCACGUGCAACCACUGUGAGUUUUGCUUCCACCUAGACUGCCACCUUCCUGCCCUGCAGGAUGUACCAGGGGAGGAGUGGAACUGCUCACUGUGUCAUGUGCUGCCUGACCUGAAGGAGGAGGAUGGCAACCUCAGCCUGGAUGCUGCAGACAGCUCUGGUGUGGUGGCCAAACUCUCACCAGCCAACCAGCGGAAAUGUGAGCAUGUUCUGCUGGUCCUGUUCUGUUAUGAACCUUGCCACACCCUGCAUCAGUUGGCUACUGACUCUACUUUCUCCCUGGACCAGCCUGGUGGCACCCUAGACCUGACCCGUGCCCGCCUCCAUAAGUUGUCAUCCCUCUACAACUCCCCCCAGGAGUUUGCCCAGGAUGUGGGCCACAUGUUCAAGCAGUUCAACAAGUUGACUGAGGACAAGGCAGACGUGCAGUCCAUCAUCGGCCUGCAGUGCUUCUUCGAGACAAAUGAGGCCUUUGGUGACACCAAGUUAUCUGCUGUGCUGGUGGAACCCCUGCCGUUGAGCCGCCCAGUGCUGGCCUGAGUUCCUAGGAGCUGUCUGGUGGCCUUGGUGAUGGUCUCUGA